rnacentral:rRNA from 1 species
AACGAACGCUGGCGGCAGGCCUAACACAUGCAAGUCGAGCGAGGAACUUCGGUUCCUAGCGGCGGACGGGUGAGUAACACGUGGGUAACCUGGCUCAUAGAGGGGGAUAGCCUUCCGAAAGGGAGAUUAAUACCGCAUAAGAAGUGAGAAUCGCAUGGUUCUAGCUUUAAAGGAGUAAUCCGCUAUGAGAUGGGCCCGCGGCGCAUUAGCUAGUUGGUGAGGUAACGGCUCACCAAGGCGACGAUGCGUGGCCGACCUGAGAGGGUGAUCGGCCACAUUGGAACUGAGACACGGUCCAGACUCCUACGGGAGGCAGCAGUGGGGAAUAUUGCACAAUGGGCGAAAGCCUGAUGCACCAACGCCGCGUGAGUGAUGACGGCCUUCGGGUUGUAAAGCUCUGUCUUUGGGGACGAUAAUGACGGUACCCAAGGAGGAAGCCACGGCUAACUACGUGCCAGCCGCCGCAGUAAUAC